GUAUCUUUAUGUACAUAGGAGGAGACCCUGUGUUCAGACCUGCAAAACUAUUUUCAUCUGUUUUCUUUUGUUCAUAAUGUUCCAAAGCUUUCAUCUUUUGGACUGGAAUUUUCUAUAAUUGGUAUCUUCCCAAAGAUAAUUUUUUGAAAAUUUGAAUAAAAUCCUUCCAAAUAUUUUUUAAUAUGGCUAAGGGCUGGAUCAAUGUACUACCAUGGACUGAGUAGAUGAACUUUCUUGCCUUUAUUCUAUUAUUUUAAUUAAACACGGUUAGCAUCAGGACCUCUGCAGUGAUGAAAGGGAAAUGAUGAAACUUUGAAGAAUUUGGGACAUAGAGUUGAUCUCUAAAUUUUAAUGUACUCUUUGCAUUAAAGCAGUUAAUAGAUACAUUUUA